AGCGUCAUAUACUCCCUCAAGCGUUAGCUUGGUGUUAGGUGAAUGUCCCUCGCAAUGUGGGGACUCGCCUUAAAGACAUUGGCAGUGAGCCUGCCAGCUUCUUACGCAGCACUUGCGUCUGUAGAGGCUGGGUAGGCUGGCUUCCCAGCAAGAACUACUUCUUUGACCUUGAAUCAGGUAGGGAUACCCGCUGAACUUAA
rnacentral:misc_RNA from 1 species